AAUAACUUCUAGAUGAAUAAACAGUGGUUUUCUCCAUGUUUUUGCCAUAUUAUGUUUAGUCUGAGGAGACCAUCACGUUUGUCUGUCCAUUUACCCAUUGGUGGGCAUUGACAGAGUUUCAGUUUGUGGACACUGUGGAUGAAGCCGCAUGGACACUUGGUGCCAUGGAGGCCAGCAGAGGGUGCAGAAUCCCCUGGAGCUGGAGUUACAAACAGUUGUCUGGUGUGGGUACUAGGACCUGAACCCCGGUCCUCACCAAGAGCAAUGGCGUCCUGCCGAAUCAACAGGCCAAGAAGCUGACAGACAGGCCUUCUGGGGUUCUCCUUUCUGUCUAGUUCUGUUCUAUGUGGUUGUACAUGCUUCAGUCAUGCCUAUGGGGAGAAGAAAACAGGAACCUACUGGAAAGCUGGACAGCUGAUCACAUGGACUUGUGGGAAGGUGAACAAGAAUUCAUCUUCUGCAUGGAGAAGCAAAAUUCCAUAGAGAUGGAAUCUCCUGCACUCAAAACCCUUCCAGGCCUUGUCCCAUGUAUUUCUUCAUUUUGCUCAUUAUUUAUACCCUUAACAUAUAUUCUGUCAUAGGGCUGGGGCUCAAUAGUGGAGUGUGAACCAGCGUUCCAACCUCAGUAAAACACACACACACACACACACACACACACACACACACACACACACACACACCUCUAGAAAUAAAGUGGUAAGAGCUGAGGGUGUCAUUUCACUUUGGCAAACAGACAUUAAUUUUCAUGUCUCUUUAAAGCUAACUCCCAAAGUAUGAACAUGGAGGUGAGAAUAUAGACUAACCAAGUCUCUAUGCAAAACAUGAAACUUAACUACGCAGUCAUUUCACAAUAUACUCUCUCUAAAUGUGUUUCGAGGUCAU